rnacentral:rRNA from 1 species
GCAUGGCACCCCGGCUAAAGCCCCGACGGGAGGGGAUGGCUCCGCGGCCCAUCAGGUAGACGGCGGGGUGACGGCCCACCGUGCCGACAACGGGUAGCCGGGUUGAGAGACCGACCGGCCAGAUUGGGACUGAGACACGGCCCAGACUCCUACGGGAGGCAGCAGUGGGGAAUCUUGCGCAAUGGGGGGAACCCUGACGCAGCGACGCCGCGUGCGGGACGGAGGCCUUCGGGUCGUAAACCGCUUUCAGCAGGGAAGAGUCAAGACUGUACCUGCAGAAGAAGCCCCGGCUAACUACGUGCCAGCAGCCGCGGUAAUACGUAGGGGGCGAGCGUUAUCCGGAUUCAUUGGGCGUAAAGCGCGCGUAGGCGGCCCGGCAGGCCGGGGGUCGAAGCGGGGGGCUCAACCCCCCGAAGCCCCCGGAACCUCCGCGGCUUGGGUCCGGUAGGGGAGGGUGGAACACCCGGUGUAGCGGUGGAAUGCGCAGAUAUCGGGUGGAACACCGGUGGCGAAGGCGGCCCUCUGGGCCGAGACCGACGCUGAGGCGCGAAAGCUGGGGGAGCGAACAGGAUUAGAUACCCUGGUAGUCCCAGCCGUAAACGAUG